GCCAGACUCCUACGGGAGGCAGCAGUGGGGGAUAUUGCACAAUGGGGGAAACCCUGAUGCAGCGACGCCGCGUGUGGGAAGACGGUCCUCUGGAUUGUAAACCACUGUCCCCAGGGAAGAAAAUGACGGUACCUGAAGAAGAAGCCCCGGCUAACUACGUGCCAGCAGCCGCGGUAAUACGUAGGGGGCAAGCGUUAUCCGGAUUUACUGGGUGUAAAGGGGGCGCAGACGGCGAUGCAAGCCAGGAGUGAAAGCCCGGGGCCCAACCCCGGGACUGCUCUUGGAACUGCGUGGCUGGAGUGCAGGAGGGGCAGGCGGAAUUCCUGGUGUAGCGGUGAAAUGCGUAGAUAUUAGGAGGAACACCAGUGGCGAAGGCGGCUUACUGGACGGCAACUGACGCUGAGGCUCGAAAGCGUGGGGAGCAAACAGGAUUAGAUACCCCCGUA
rnacentral:rRNA from 1 species